ensembl:lncRNA LINC01772 long intergenic non-protein coding RNA 1772
UGUGGUGGUGGUGCAUGCUUGGAAUCCUAACUACUUGCGAGGCUGAGGUGGGAGAAUUGCUUGAGCCCAGGAGUUUGAGGCUGCAGUGAGCUAUGAUCACGGCCUCGCACUCCAGUCUAGGCAGCAGUGAGACCCUAGAGAAUUCUCUAAAAGAAUUAAAAAUGAAAAAAAGCCACAACACUUCUUUUGCCUGAGGAUUCUGUAAGAAGCAGUUUUUAUUGUUAUGGAAAUAGCCACUCUGAUUAAGAAACUGUAGAGAGGAGAAAGAAAAUGAAAAUUGAAGAUUCUCUUGCCCAUUGAAUUAAGGGUAAGGAGAUUGCAUUAAAGGAUCUUCGGGAGCAGUAACUUUUUUAUGUCGAUUUCACAUAGCAUUACUUCACAUCGAGUCAGUUUUAAGUACUUGGAGGGUGGAAAUCAGAAAGCUUAGAUGUAGAGGAAGCUUUAUUAGAAGUGUGUACCAUGGCUGGGUGUGGUGGCUCAUGCCCACAAUCCCAGCACUUUGGGAGGCCGAAGUGGGUGGCUUACUUGAGGUUAGGAGUUCGAGACCAGCCUGGCGAACAUGGUGAAACCCCGUCUACUAAAAAUACAACAAUUAGCCAGGCAUGGUGGCGCACGCCUGUAAUCCCAGCUACUUGAGAAGCUGAGGCAUGAGAAUUGCCUCCAGGAAGUGGAGGUUGCAGUGAGCUGAGAUCAUGCCACUGUACUCUAGCCUGGGCAACAGAGCAAGACUGUCUCAAAAGGAAAAAAAAAAAAAGUAUGUACCAUUGAAGAUCAGCACUUGGAUUGUGGAGACAGACCUGGCCUUAGGAUCUAGGCUAUCCCCUGGUUAGACGUGUGGCCACAGGCUGUUCCUUCACCUGAGCGUCACUCGGAUGAGGCACUAGCAGAUGCACAUUGCAUUGUUUGACCUUAAUGACCUUUCUCUGGAGUCAGGUAAGUACCCAGAACAGUUCAUCAUGGUAGGGAGGAGGAGGUGGCACAGCUGAUGACACAGCCCUCAGGAAUCUAGCCUGAAAAGCACCUUGUGGGGUCUGGGGCCAGGAGCAAGGGACAGCUUGAUGCUGUCCAUCACUAACUGGAAUCCCAGCUGGAAAAAACUCAUUACAGGACCAGAAUCUCCAGGAAAACUCAAUCCCAAACCAGGCAUCACUUCAAUUACACCCCUGACUGGAGUUUACAAACUGGUGGGUGGAUGGUAGAAGAUGGCUGCUUUCUUGGGGGGUAUGCUAGACCUCACUUGCCCUCUGCACAACAGAAUUUGGAUGCACUGGGAGGUGUGGCAGAUAGACUCCCAGGUGGUCACUGUGAUCCCCACCUGCUGUUCACAGCCUUAUGUACUCCCUGCCCCUUGAGAUGGCCUAGACCUGUGACUGCUAACCAGUAGAGUGCCACAAAGGUGACAAGAUGUUAUUUUCAUGGUUGCCUUAUGUAAGACUGCAACAUCUGCCUUGCUGAGAAAUUCUCUUGCUGGCUUUGAAGAAGGAAGCUGUCAUGUUGUGUGAGCUGCCCUUGGGAGAGGGUCAGGUGGCUAGGAACUGAGGUAGCCUCUGACAGCCAACAAGAAACUGAAGCUCAGUCCAGCAGUCUGCAAGAAAGCAAAUGCUGCCAGCAACCACACAAGCUUGGAGGCUGAUCACUCCCAGGUAAGCCUUCAGGUGAGACCCCAGGCCUGACCAACACUGACUGCAGCCUUGCAGAGGACCAGCUAAGCUGUGCCCAGACUGUCCCAUAGGAACAGAUGGUAAAUGUAUUGUGUUAAGUCGCUAAGUUUCUGGUAAGGUUAUGCAGCAAUAGAUAACCAACACAAAGGUUAGCAAAGUGUGUUUGAGGUGGGAAUCAGUGUGGAAAAGAGAGAAUCUGGAUAGACUUAAUAGCUGUAGGGCCUUGGGAGGUCCCUUAUGAUGCUCCUUUGGGCCUUCCUGUUGCCUUUAAGUAAUGCUUAUUGUUUAUUGCUAAAGUAAUGCUUAACUCUCUGCUAGGCACUAUUCUAUGCACUUAUAAAACUCAUUGCAUCAUCUCUACAACCCCAUGAGGUAAGGACUUGUUUUUUUUGUGUUUUGAGACAGUCUCGCUCUGUGGCCCAGGCUGGAAUGCAGUGGCAUGAUCUCAGCUCACUGCAACCUCUGCCUCCUGCGUUCAAGCAGUUCUUCUGCCUCAGCCUCCGAGUAGUUGUGAUUACAGACGUGUGCCAGUACUUCCGGCUAAUUUUUUUGAUUUUUAGUAGAGACGGGGUUUCAUCAUGUUGGCCAGGCUGGUCUCAAAUUCCUGACCUCAAGUGAUCAGCCUGCCUUGGCCUCCUAAAAUGCUGGGAUUACAAGUGUGAGCCACCGCACCUGGCCACACAACAAACUUUCUACACAUUGAUGUAUGAUAUUCCACUGAGGGGAGAGGCACCCUCCUGGCUUAACUGAAGGGGUGUACCACAGAAGGACAUGGUGGACAUCACACACAGAUUCUGUGGCAUAGGAUGAACUGCUAAACUAGGAUAUUUUAAAGUCCUCCAACAUCUGUAAUUGUUUUCCGUGGUGAACAAGUGUCGUGUGUCUCAAGAAGACAGGCCACAGUGACCUCUUUGAAAGCUUUCUGUCAAGUCUCUUAUCCAAGGGGAGCAAAAUCACAAAGGUCCCAGGCGAUUUUUUUUCCUCUUUCCUCUUUUCUUCAUAAAUCUUGGUUUUGCUUUUAUUUGACGAAAACAAUCUGAUGCCUGUUCUCCCUUCUAUACAAUGGUAAAUUAGCAUGCAAGUAGCUAUCCCUUUAUUAUUGUUUGAUAGAUUUUUGCAGCGGCUAUGUCCGUAAAAAUUAGCCCACCUGAGAUAUAUCACUGGAGCCAACAGAACCCUGCACCCAACAGGCACCUUGUGCAGACCUGGACCCUUACAGCUGUUGGCUCAUGUUCCUUUGGUUCUUCUAAUGAAUAUCAUGAGUAGAAACUGAGCUCUUUGGCUUUUACCCACUACCAUGACUCUAGUACAUUUUCUCUCUCUCGUUUCUCUCAUUUUUGUAUCAUGAUUUUCUGCCAUCAGGGGCAUCAGUGUGGGUUCCUGGUUUUGAUGGUAUGGAGUGAACUUCUGGGAUCGUUUUAUGACUGUAUAACAGUUGGUAUUCUUCUGUUGAUGAAGAUUUGUGUUGUACCCAGUUUUUCCUUAGUAUAAAAAGGAGGUUAAUAAGAACAUUUUUGCUAGAAGCCUUGUUGGAUGUAUUGUUCAUUUUACGGGGGUAAUCAAUAAAUGUAAGCGUGCUUCUUU